CUCACACCUAACUGAGGUCUUAGAGCAGAAUGAGGUAGCGUGGCUGGUGAGGGAAUGGUCACAUGCUCUGUAUUCUCAGAGAUAUGUUAUGAAAGUGUCUCCAGCCCUCCCUUUCUACAAUCAAGCCAAAUUAGUUUCUGUUGGUGUCGAGAUAGACCACAGCUGAAAAUUCCCCAGCUGUCCGUGAACAGAUCACCUGGAACCAGCCAAUUAAGAAAAACUGAUGAUUUUGGCUUAAAUAUCCUUUAAUCAAGACACUGUUUCUCACUCCCCUGACUCUCCCCUCUUGCCCUGAGGUUUUUUUGCCUUUAUAAUCUUUUCUUCCCUGACCCCUCAGAGCACACUUGUAUUUUAUUUAUACUAGGGGCUGUGUCUCCCCAAUCUAUAGAUAAUUUUUUUUUUUAAAUGAAACUCUUCCGUUUUUCUUUCACAACUAUUGUGGUCUUUUGUUAAGAUUUCUUGCUUUCUUUUUUUUUGAGACAGGAUCUUGCUCUCAGCUUGCCCAGGCUGGAGUGCAGUGAUGAAAUCAUAGCUCUGCAGUCUCAAACUCCUGGCCUCAAGUGAUCUUCCUGCCUCAACUUCCCAAAUAGCUGAGACUACAGGCAUGAGGCACAACACCUGGCUAAUUUCUAAUUUUUUUUUUUUUUUUUGCAGAGAAGGGGUCCUGCUAUGUUGCCCAGGCUUGUUUCAAAUUCCUGGCAUCAAGUGACCCUCCCGCAGUGCUGGGAUUACCAAUGUGAGCCACUGCAUCUGGCUCUAUGUCGUGAACAUUUUUUGAUGAUGAGGAUGCGAUCUGAAGGGGACCCCAAGCUCCUUUUCUGUGCUACCUGGACCAAUGCAUCGGCACCUGUGAGAUUUCUUUCAGCUCAGCCGCCUUCACAGCUGCAUUGGGUAGAAAUCAGGGACCCAGCCCCUUGGUACCAACAUCAGCCCUUGAGGUCUUCCAGCCCCUCAUGCCUAUGCCAGGGUGAGUCUCUCCAGAGUCUGGAGCCUCCCACAUGGUUGACGUUCCUGUUCCAUUCAGCUAGUUGUUCUCACUCCUUGAUGAAGGGGUAAGAUUUUUUUCCAUGAGACUUUUCGUAUCUCAAGAAGUGGGUAAUCACUCUGUGUUUCUCCCUCAAGGAGCACAUUAAGACAUUCUUUUCCUAUACCAUUUCUCCCAUUAACCUCCGUUAUGACUUGAUUUGUCAACAAAACUUCAGAGGGCAAAGUGAAACAAACCUUCCUUUGGCUCCGGCAGCUCUGACACAGUGAGAAAGACACCAAAGACACUCUGCUUUUCUAGAUGCCAGGACCUGAGAAGCCAACAGAAAGGCGAAGAUUUUGAUUAAAAAAUCACCUUUUGUCUCCGCGGCAAAAAAAAUUUUUUUUUUUUUUUGAGACAGAGUCUGUGUUACCCAGCUUGGAGUGCAGUGGCCUGAUCUCGGCUCAUUGCAACCUCUGCCUCCUGGGUUUAAACAGUUCUCCUGCUUCAGCCUCCUGAGUAGCUGGGAUUACUGGCAUGUGCCACCACACCCAGCUAAUUUUUUUGUAUUUUAAUAGAGACGGGGUUUCACCAUGUUUGCUAGUCUGGUCUCGAACUUCUUCCCUCUCAGGUGAUUUGCCCUCCUUGGCCACCCAAAGUGCUGGGGUUACAGACAUGAGCCACUGGGCCCUGCCUGCAAAAUCUUGAUUCAUGAGAAAGAAUUUUUUGUGACUGGUCUUGGGUGUAGCAACUCCGGUAUGCGUUUAGUACUUUUUUGAAUAAAUAUUCAUAUUGUUUGAUUCCUUUUCCUUCCCCAAACAGUCUUUUCCUUUGUCUUUAUCUUUCUGUGUUGUUUUGUCAUGAAGAAGGGUACCAGAAGGUAGAAUGUGGACCUAAAAUUUCUGUAAGUUCAUUGCUCAGGCUGGCAAUAUGCAGUUCUAAUUGACACAUUUUUUAAUCUCAAGGAAGUUUGUCUAAAGACACCCCAUUCUUAGGGAAUUUUUGUCAUCUCAACCCUUGCUACCUGGUAAGUUGUGAGAAAGCUCAAUCUCAGGAGGGCCUUCUUGGCAUCACAGAUGAACAGGUCUUUAACUGGUGGCCUCCUACAAAUGUGUGUGUCACCAGACAGCAUAUUCACAAACAUGAUCCUUAACUGUUGUCUGUGGUGAAAAGUCUUUCGCCAUCUCAACCUAUUGCCUCAUAAAAGAAGCAGUUCCAAGGGUACACACACACACACACACACACACACACAUACACACACACGUUGAAGUUAAACUACAUGUGACCUACAUGAGAACCUUUAACAUACAUGUGUUAAAGCUAAGUUAAAAAGACCACCAUACGUGCGCGUGUGUGUGUGUGUGUGUGUGUGUAUCCUUGGAAUUGCCUCUUUUAUGCCCUCUCAAGGAAACACCUCUUUCUCAAACUGCCUGCUUUGGAUCCCCUACAAGAUUUAUUUAAAAAAAACGACCUUGUCUUCUAGUGACUCAGAUUCUGACAUGACUGUGGUCCAGGUUUGAUUCCAGGUCAGGG
ensembl:lncRNA